AUUUAAAUAACCCACUUGUUUACACUGGAACUUAGUUCAUAGGUUCUCAUCAUCAUUUAUUUCAGGCUUUUCAGGUGAAAUAUCCUGCCUAUUUCAGCUUACAGCAUUUUUAUUUCUUAUGCAAACAUGUGCAUAUGUGCGUGUGUGUUUUAAUCAAUAAAAUAACAAAUUCUCAGCUUCUUGAGGACUAUGCCAAAAAGCCUAAAGAACAAACCAGAUUACAAAUAGCACAUUCUGUUCUGUGAAUUGGGUUUUCAACCCAUUAUCAGACAAUGCCAUUUGGUUCUUUAAAAUAAAUCAAGGGGAAUAUUUCACAAGAAAGAGAUUACUUCUUCCUAUGCAAGUCAAAAAUUGGAAAAUAAAUGAACACUUGAAGCCUACUGGAGCCCUCCUGUUUUCUCCCCAAAAAGAUUACACUAGUCAAGGACUGGAGUGAUAUAAAGAAAUAGUGUCAUGUGUGAAUUAUUGGCUAUCAAAAAGAACCUGUGGAGGAGACUUCAUAAAAAUAACGUCUAAGAAAAAUCCCUUGAGAAAUGGUGCUGAACUCUAGGAAAAGAAAAAAAAAAAAAGAACUAUUUCUGUUUAACUGUAAGGACAGCUUCUUUGUUUCCUUAGCCAAACAGAGUUCUUGUGGUCUAGAAAUGUUUCUGUCUACUACAGAGGUGGAAUUACUGUGAGGCUAGGAAGGGUGAAGCUUCAGGGCCUCUCACUUGCAUAAACACUUUUCUAAGGCAUUGGAAAAGGGUCUAGGGGUUCUUGCUGGCUGUCCAGAUGUAGCUUCCACGAACACUCAUGAUUAACAUGGUGCUGGCAACAUGAAAGUGCAAGCCUACAGAUCACUGCAAAAUCAAUGUGCCCAGAGCUUCAGGCAACACAAAGUUGUGUGGAGUGAAGGAGACACAAUGUUCAAAACUUAUAAAGCCAGGAACUGGUCUUUGAAAAUUCUUCCAAAUCUUACAGUUCACAGAUGAAAGACAUUUGAUAGUUAUUUCCCGCUUCAUCAUAGUCCUAAGAAUGUAUAUGAAAUCACAAAUAACAAAUUGAGAAAAUUGAUGCAACUUUUCUAAACUAACAGUAACAAAAUGACAGAUUAUAAUCAAUCAUACUAGAGAAAAGACUGCAUUAUCUUAUUAUUCUCAACACAGAAAACGUAACAGAACUAUGUCAAAUGAGGAGGCAAUCAGAGAAUGAACAGCAGUUUAUAUAGAGCCAAAACUAUACACCCAAAAAAAUCACAGAAAUGCGUCAAGCAAUUUUCUAAAAAUUAAUUUUAUAAGUUUUGUUAUCCUUGCAGAAUUUGUCAGCAUUAAUUUUAUAAUCUGUUGUGAUUUAUUUUUAUGUUCUAAAUAAAUAUUCAAUCACUACAUUCAAUAGAUUA